rnacentral:rRNA from 1 species
AACGAACGCUGGCGGCAGGCCUAACACAUGCAAGUCGAGCGAAGCCUUCGGGCUUAGCGGCGGACGGGUGAGUAACGCGUGGGAACGUGCCCUUUGGUAUGGAAUAGCCCCGGGAAACUGGGAGUAAUACCGUAUGUGGUCGAGAGACGAAAGAUUUAUCGCCAAAGGAUCGGCCCGCGUUGGAUUAGGUAGUUGGUGGGGUAAUGGCCUACCAAGCCGACGAUCCAUAGCUGGUUUGAGAGGAUGAUCAGCCACACUGGGACUGAGACGCGGCCCAGACUCCUACGGGAGGCAGCAGUGGGGAAUCUUGGACAAUGGGGGAAACCCUGAUCUAGCCAUGCCGCGUGAUCGAUGAAGGCCUUAGGGUUGUAAAGAUCUUUCAGUGGGGAAGAUAAUGACUGUACCCACAGAAGAAGCCCCGGCUAACUCCGUGCCAGCAGCCGCCGCCGUAA